UCUAUAUAAUUGUAUUACUAUUUUGCAUAGAACCUUAUAGUUUGUCAGAAUAUCGUCUAGCGUACUUGUGUGGUCGCGGACUUUAUUACAGUUUCAUCGUCGCUUGCACACGACUGUCUUCCUAGUUUUUGUAAGUCAUACAAAAUUCAAUAAUAAUUUAUACUUAGUUAAAUAAUCAGUUAAUUGUGUCAAUUCAUUUUUAACUAUUUUACGUCUUAACGUACUUUGUUCGGUGAUUCGUGCAGUAAUCAAGUGGUUAUACCACAACAUGGAAAAAACGAGAAAUACAAUAAUUAUAAUCGAUUUUGAAUUCACCAACUAUCAACGUACCGACUUAAUACUUAUUUCUGCAGCUAUAUCACAGACUCACAUAAAAUCUAAAAUUAUACGCAUGCGAGGUCGACCUUUAAUAAUAUCACCUGACGGAAGAAUACAAUUAAUGAAUAAUUAUUCAUAUAUAAAAACUA